UACGAAGGGGGCUAGCGUUGCUCGGAAUGACUGGGCGUAAAGGGCGCGUAGGCGGCUUGUAUAGUCGGAUGUGAAAUUCCUGGGCUUAACCUGGGGGCUGCAUACGAGACGUAUGGGCUUGAGUGCGGAAGAGGGUCGUGGAAUUCCCAGUGUAGAGGUGAAAUUCGUAGAUAUUGGCUGGAACACCGGUGGCGAAAGCGGCUCUCUGGCCCGGUUCUGACGCUGAGGCGCGAAAGCGUGGGGAGCAAACAGG
rnacentral:rRNA from 1 species